GAUCCACCUGCCUCAGCCUCCUAAAGUGUUGGGAUUACAACGUGAAGCUCUAGUUCCAUAACUUCUGGGAGACAAUGGCCAGUCUCAGACUUAAGGAUUAAGAGAAUUCUCCUAAUGAUUCCAGAAUGGGAUACUAAGAAACACGGACACUGCCAGGGAGGGCGCAGUGGCUCACAUCUGCAGUCCCAGCACUUUGGGAGGCCAAGGCGGGCAGAUCACGAGGUCAGGAGUUCAAGACCAGCCUGGCCAAUAUGGUGAAACCCCAUCUCUACCAAAAAUACAAAAAUUAGCUGGAUGUGGUGGUGCAUGCCUGUAAUCUCAGCUACUCGAGAGGCUGAGGCAGAAGAAUUGCUUGAACCCGGGAAGCAGAGGUUGUAGUGAGGCGACAUUGUACCACUGCACUCCACCCUGGGCGACAAAACGCAACUCCGUCUCAAAAACAAACAAACAAACACGGACACUGUCUGAGCACCCUCAUUCUGCAUUUGAAGAAAUACAGAUACAAUGGCAAAAAGAAAUCGUUCGCUUGGAAUUACAGUAAAGAAUGUGCAAGUGUUGGCAAGCAUAACUUUGAUUAUUAUUUGAUUACAUGAAUUAUGAAAUGCAUGUAGUUUGAAGUUUUAGAGAGACAAAUAAAUACACAGUAUAAUUGGGGGUUCUUAUUAUCAAGGUCCCUCAUCUUUAGCAUCUGAUCGUUUCACAUCUUCUUCCUCAUGAGUCCAUGGCAUAGAGUGUCGCUCUGUCAUUUCCUGGCUCCUGUGGGUUAGAACCCUUUAUGACGUACAUAUCUCUCCAUAGUGGCUCCCUAUGAUGUUUUGAUAAGAAGCUAUUCUGGGACCUUCAGCUUUUCCUCUGUUACUACCUGUUGAGGUGAGAGCAAAGGGGAUAGAGACAGCAAAGGAGGCAAGAAGUGGUCUACUCUCUUUUCCAUCUUUGACCCAAGGAUAAGUACUAACCACAGCAGAGCUUAUAGCUGGCUAUAUAUUAAGGAUAUUUUCCUAAAGACCUGAAGAAAACAAAACAGCAUAACAUUAGAGGCCAGAUAAAUUUUGAACAAGAUAAAGAUUUGAUUUGGGGGCCCUUGGGCUUCAGCUAUAACCUGUCUCUUCUGAGAUGAUGUAAUUAUCCUCCCUCCAGGUGGAGGCAGUUCACCACCGUUCCUCUCGGAUAUAUGUGCCUUUGGAGAAGACCCUUAUUCCAUCACAAAGCACAGGAUGGGAGUAGAAUCCUGGCUCAUCCACUCUAAUGAGUGCUCACAGAACACCAAGCAAUGGCCCGAUUUUUCAUGUAGCAGAAGCACAGCUGCCUUCUCUCUAACCUACACCUCCUCCUCUAUUCCUG